UACGAAGGGGGCUAGCGUUGCUCGGAAUCACUGGGCGUAAAGGGUGCGUAGGCGGGUUUUUAAGUCAGAGGUGAAAUCCUGGAGCUCAACUCCAGAACUGCCUUUGAUACUGAAAGUCUUGAGUAUGGGAGAGGUGAGUGGAACUGCGAGUGUAGAGGUGAAAUUCGUAGAUAUUCGCAAGAACACCAGUGGCGAAGGCGGCUCACUGGCCCAUUACUGACGCUGAGGCACGAAAGCGUGGGGAGCAACAG
rnacentral:rRNA from 1 species